rnacentral:rRNA from 1 species
AGAGUUUGAUCCUGGCUCAGAACGAACGCUGGCGGCAGGCCUAACACAUGCAAGUCGAGCGCUCUCUUCGGAGGGAGCGGCGGACGGGUGAGUAACGCGUGGGAAUAUACCCUUCUCUACGGAAUAGCCUCGGGAAACUGAGAGUAAUACCGUAUACGCCCUUCGGGGGAAAGAUUUAUCGGAGAAGGAUUAGCCCGCGUUAAUUAGAUAGUUGGGUGGGGUAAUGGCCUACCAAGUCUACGAUCUAUAGCUGGUUUUAGAGGACGAUCAGCCACACUGGGACUGAGACACGGCCCAGACUCCUACGGGAGGCAGCAGUGGGGAAUCUUAGACAAUGGGCGAAAGCCUGAUCUAGCCAUGCCGCGUGAGUGAUGAAGGCCUUAGGGUCGUAAAGCUCUUUCGCCAGGGAUGAUAAUGACAGUACCUGGUAAAGAAACCCCGGCUAACUCCGUGCCAGCAGCCGCGGUAAUACGGAGGGGGUUAGCGUUGUUCGGAAUUACUGGGCGUAAAGCGCACGUAGGCGGAUUGGAAAGUUGGGGGUGAAAUCCCAGGGCUCAACCCUGGAACUGCCUCCAAAACUACCAGUCUAGAGUUCGAGAGAGGUGAGUGGAAUUCCGAGUGUAGAGGUGAAAUUCGUAGAUAUUCGGAGGAACACCAGUGGUGAAGGCGGCUCACUGGCUCGAUACUGACGCUGAGGUGCGAAAGUGUGGGGAGCAAACAGGAUUAGAUACCCUGGUAGUC